AUUGUUGGGCUGGGCUCUCACAACUUGGUGAUUAUACAAUGGGUUCUCUAAGUAAAUUCUUUGUUUCUGACCUGUUAAGGCUGCGUUUGGGGAGCUCCCCUGCUUAUAAGCAAUGGAAGAUUUGGUGUUUGAUAACUUCACCCCCAACCGGCUUCUAGAUAAAGCAACGGCUUUUUCUCCCUAAAAGCGGAAGCCAGGGCUGGCCUCCUUUUAGAAGCUGCUUCCACUUCUUCACUGUAGCGGUGUUCCCUGUAGAUUAAUGAUUCUUUCCAUAAUACCAACUUCUAUCCUUCAUUCCCUGAGGAAAUUACACACAGCCACGCACAGACGCACUCGUCUCUGUCUUCUCCCUCAACUCUCUUGGCAUCACCUACAAUCUAGAUCAGUUUUAUGACGACACGAACUGAUGUAGCUUAGAUCGCCGACCCAGAAUCGAAAUCCGGGGGUAAUCUUUUCUGAAAACUGCGAUUAGGUACGAACAUCCGAGGAGAUGAAGUAAUUGAGAUUUCGAAAUCUCAUUCAUCCUUCCACCAAUCUGUUAUGUAUAUAGAAGUUCACUCCGAGUCCCAGAUUUCUAAGUGAGCUAAAUUCCACCAAUCUUUUCUCAAGGUAUCUGAUACUGAAAGCUUCGAUCCAUAUCAGGGUGGGCUUUUGCUGAUUCGGUUCUCUAUAGAUUGUUCAGUAGAUGCAAGUAAAAGGUGUGCAGGGUGCUGAAAAGUUGUAGAUGUUACAUGCAGCAGAUGAAUGCAAAGAAGUUGAUGGGUUGCUUUCUGCUUUGGUUCAAUUCAACUACCUGAUAAUGAAUUGAUGAAGUUGUGACCACAGCUGCCAGUGCUUGUGCCCUUCAAGUUUCAAAAUUAGUUGUAGUUAUAGUAGCAGUAGCAAGGCUAGUCUAUGACUCGAUUAUAAAAUUGAAUGUCUGAGAGUGAAUUUGAAUGAUGUAAUGAUUGAAAGGAAAUGAUCCAUGAUCAAUUGUACGUAAUACAAAAUGGAGUUUAUAGA